rnacentral:lncRNA from 1 species
UUGAAAUAUUUUUGUUUUAGAAUUGCUGGGGGUGGGUUGCAGAUUUGCCCCACAACCGCACCGCACACCUUGCCAUCCCUAAAUCAAAAUAAUCCUCAAGUGUACAUGGUGUACAUGGUCAAAUAAAUACUCUCUGUGUUUCAUUUUGCUUGUUAUAGUUUGACUUUCAUAAAGCUUAAGAAAAAAAUAAAAAUAUUUUUUGACACUUGUAUUGUAAACAUAUCAAAAAGCUUUUAAUUAAGAAAUUAUAAGAAUGUUAGUAUUUACUGGACGGAAUAAUAAGAAAAUGAUGUCAAACAAAAUUAAUCAAAUAAGGAAAUAAUAUAAAGUGAACAGUGUCUUGAAAUUUUGAUGAACUUUUUUUUGAGGCAGACAAGUGAGGCCCCAUUGAAAUUAAUUUAUGCUUUUGCUUUCUGGAAUUUUUAGAAUUCUAUGCAUCAUUUUUUUCUAUAAUUAAUUUAGUACUGAAAUUAUUUUCUUAUUUGAUGUCAUAUAUCAUUCCUCCAUACUCUGUGUUUAUGGAAACGGCAAAAGUAAUAUAAAUUAAGCAGAGUAGUAUUGUGCAUUCAUGUUUUCUCUUUUCUUGUAGUUCUAAACACGUCACGCUAUUUGUGUGGACUAUUUUCUACAAAUGUGUGUUGCACGUUAAUACCGCAGCUUCACUUCAUCCUUAUACACCUGCUGGACUGUCUAUUCUUCCUUCCUUUUGAUUAGAUGGAUUAUAUCAUCCAAGAACUUAAACUAAGAGGAAAAUACUUCAAGGAACGAACAGAGAAAUAAAAAAAUAGUAUCAAAUUAAAAUUAGAUGAAAAAAGGUUUAUUUCUUGUGAGAAAUUGUGAUUAGCUUUCUAAUUAAAUUAAUCUAAACAUAAUUAUUAAUAUCCAGUAUAUAACGCGCAACCACAUGUUCAACCCCCAUCUUACCCACAGUGGAACUCACCAACUCCUCAGAAUCGUCCUUUAACUCCACAAACAUACCAAAAUCAUUCUAAGCCUGAUUUUCGAUCUAAGCCAGAUGAUGAAAUGGGGCAGAAGUCGAGAGAUAGCUUCACACCAAUUGGAGAGUUGUAUGUCAGUUUAUUUCAGAGAUUGGUAAAAUGAGGCAUGAUCACUCCUCUCCUGGGGUGCACUCUUAAUCCGCGUUCAAGAAAUUUUGAUCCUAAUGUAUGAUGUGCGUAUCAUUUUGAUGCUUAGGGUUAUAAUAUUGAAGGUUGUCGAUAUUUGAAAAGAGAAAUUGAAAAGAUGAUUCAAGAUGGAUCAAUUAUGGUGUAGAACGUUAACAGUGAGGGAAGCUCUAGUCAUGCUGAUAUGCAAACCAGUGGCUAAGUUGUCAGGCUGAGCAAUUGAGAAGUCACCCCUCUCCCUACUAGGAAGAGGUCUGGUAGUUUGUUUUGUUUUCUUUUCUAUUUUUCGAAUUAUUUCAGGGUUGUCGUUCGGGAUCUAUCUUGUUUUGUCCUUUUGUCGUUUAUGUUCAAACUCUUUUACCUUUUAUUUCAACUAAAUGAAUUGUCCCUUUUCCUUUGUGUUUUGAA